GGAUGUGAAGGUAAUCUGGCUGUGACAUCUGUCACCCCACUGAUCGCCAGCAUUGCUUGUCUGAUCUGGCUGGCUAGGCAGGUGUCCCCUUUCUUCCUCACCAUGCCACGUGUGUCCCUCACAAAGCUGCACCCCCGGUCUCGGAGGAAAACCACCCUCAGAGAGGAAGACAGUUUCCUCAGUCAAGGGUAUACGAUUAGCUGUGCUCUCCUGCUAGAACCUCCAAAGAAGCUCUCACAUUAAAGGGAAAAAUGAGGAAGGGUUAAUUACAGAACCUCACCUUGACUUUAUUUAUAAUACUGAUGCACUGG
rnacentral:snRNA from 1 species